rnacentral:tRNA from 24 species
GGAGAGAUGGCUGAGCGGCUGAAGGCGCACGCCUGGAAAGCGUGUAUAGGGUAAUACUCUAUCGGGGGUUCGAAUCCCCCUCUCUCCGCCA